AGAACGAACGCUGGCGGCAUGCCUAAUACAUGCAAGUCGAACGAACACUUCGGUGUUAGUGGCGCACGGGUGCGUAACGCGUGGGAAUCUGCCCUUGGGUUCGGAAUAACAGUUGGAAACGACUGCUAAUACCGGAUGAUGACGAAAGUCCAAAGAUUUAUCGCCCAGGGAUGAGCCCGCGUAGGAUUAGCUAGUUGGUGAGGUAAAGGCUCACCAAGGCGACGAUCCUUAGCUGGUCUGAGAGGAUGAUCAGCCACACUGGGACUGAGACACGGCCCAGACUCCUACGGGAGGCAGCAGUAGGGAAUAUUGGACAAUGGGCGCAAGCCUGAUCCAGGCAAUGCCGCGUGAGUGAUGAAGGCCUUAGGGUUGUAAAGCUCUUUUACCCGAGAUGUAUAAUGACAGUAGUCGGAGAAUAAGCCCGACUAACUCCGUGCCAGCACGCCGAC
rnacentral:rRNA from 1 species